rnacentral:misc_RNA from 1 species
AGUCCCUUCACCCCACCAUCCCUGUUUGACAAGGAAAUCGGGAGUCAAAAACGCACCAGGUGGCACAGAAAAGACUUAAGAGCCCACCUAAUUAGGCUUUUGAUAUCAGGCAAGCCGACCACAGGUGUGGCCCAUAAAUUUUGAUACUAACAUGUGUAAUAUUUAUUUGAAAUCUAAAAGAAUGAUAACUAGCAAAGAUGUAGGUCACAAAGAAAUGGCUAAUUCAAAGCUCACUCAAAAGCAACAAUCAUGGAUAGCAGAUGGUGAAAAAAAUAAAAAUAAAAAAGCAACAACCACACAACAAUUUUACCACAUGAUGAUGGGCCUUCUUACCCAAAGAUUGCCCCCUAACGCUAAUUUCCAUUUCAUAUGGAAGGAUUAUGAGUUUAACCCCUAGCAAAUGUUACAAUAUCACCCUUUUAAUAGUGCUGUCCAUAUAGGUAACCCUUCCAUGUACUAAUAGCCUCAUAGAACGGUUAUCAGACCAGGGGUGUACCUAUGAGAGAUUUUCGCAUCAAUUUACUGGUCUUAUACAAGUGCAAUAACCACUGAUGAACAAAAACAAAAACACAUAUAAUUUCUUAGUUUUCAUAAAGGAAGAACUAAAAUUACCUAUUUCAUAGAAAGUAAAAAAUAAAACUGAAGUACAUACCUCCAGAUUUCUCGUAAUGUUUGUCUUGUAGUCAUAUUUAAUGCCCUGGAUGGAUCCUUCUAUUAAUUGCAAACAGUACAAACAGUAAAUCAUGUUAGUAACAAUCUAAAAAUUGUGCCAAAGUCACUUAAAUAUUAUUUGCAAGUCAAUCCAUUACUUGAAUUUAUUUGGAAGUCAACCUGUUCUGUCUAGAUAACCAUAAUUCUUUUCCCUUUUCCCCCCUUAAUUUUUUAAAUUUCUUCCAAGGUUCUCAAUUUCAUUCCCAGUUAUGAUUUCUACAUCCAAUUUUAUGGCAAAGUAUCAAUGCAAGGGUGAGAACACAACAAUCACCCAUAUGGCAGCAUCUCUGGUUGAAAGACAUUGAAAUUUUGUUAAAAGACAUCAUAUUUAUAUCAAAAUUUUCUCUAUCCAAAAGUAUUAAAUUGAAGCCAAUUUUUCCAUACUAUCAUAAUCUCAUUCAAAACAAAUGCUAAGUCAUAUAUUAGACCAGCCAAAUAAAGGAUAUGCAUCAAACAUAAAAGUUUUGGCAAGAGAGAAUUUAUAAUGUUUUGCUCAUUGAUAAUCAGGUCCAAAUAUCAAAGGAACAAGUAAGAUUGCAAGAACCGGCACCAGCAUUGUGGUUCUGAUCAAUGAUCUAUCUCAUCUAGAAAACUUCAUCAACCAUACGCCCUUCCUCUCUUAUCUUUUAUCUUAUGUACCACUGUAAUAUGUUAUCUUUUAAUUUUUUGCCUUUCGUUUUUGUAAAAUUUUUAGCAGAAAGAGUAGGGGGUGAUAAAAAAAUUAUCUGUACAAAAAUUGUAGACGCAUUUUUAACAAAGGCUGGUUUCAGAGUAUUACCUCUAUCUGCCUUCUGGUCCUUGCAACAUCUAAUGGGCACGUAGCAGCAGCUGCCAGAGUUCCUGCAACAAAACCAGCAGAAAAGUUU